rnacentral:miRNA from 1 species
GGUAUGGAGUCGGCUGGAAUCCAUGAGACCACCUACAACAGCAUCAUGAAGUGUGACAUCGACAUCCGUAAAGACCUGUACGCC